rnacentral:rRNA from 1 species
AAUCAACGCUGGCGGCGUGCCUCAGACAUGCAAGUCGAACGAUUAAAGCUCUCUUCGGAGAGUGCAUAGAGUGGCGCACGGGUGAGUAACACGUAAGUAAUCUACCUUCGAGUGGGGAAUAACGUCCGGAAACGGGCGCUAAUACCGCAUAAUGCAGCGGCAUCGCAAGAUGACAGUUGUUAAAGGAGCAAUCCGCUUGAAGAGGAGCUUGCGGCAGAUUAGCUAGUUGGUAGGGUAAUGGCCUACCAAGGCUACGAUCUGUAACCGGUCUUAGAGGACGGUCGGUCACACUGACACUGAAUAACGGGUCAGACUCCUACGGGAGGCAGCAGUCGGGAAUUUUGGGCAAUGGGGGAAACCCUGACCCAGCAACGCCGCGUGAAGGAUGAAGUAUUUCGGUAUGUAAACUUCGAAAGAAUAGGAAGAAUCAAUGACGGUACUAUUUAUAAGGUCCGGCUAACUACGUG